rnacentral:rRNA from 1 species
GAUGAACGCUGACAGAAUGCUUAACACAUGCAAGUCUUUGGCGAAGCUGUGCUUGCACAGCCUAGCCAAGGCGGACGGGUGAGCAACGCGUAAGGAACUUGCCCUGCAGUCAGGGAUAACAGACGGAAACGACUGAUAAGACCUGGUAAAGUCAGGCGGACUCAUGUCCAGCCUGAUGAAAAGAGAUGCUGCAGGAGAGCCUUGCGUCCUAUUAGCUUGUUGGUGGGGUAACGGCCCACCAAGGCGAUGAUAGGUAGCCGGCCUGAGAGGGUGGACGGCCGCAAGGGGACUGAGAUACGGCCCUUACUCCUACGGGAGGCAGCAGUGGGGAAUAUUGGACAAUGGGGGCAACCCUGAUCCAGCAAUUCUGUGUGCACGAUGAAGGUUUUCGGAUUGUAAAGUGCUUUCAGCAGGGAAGAAAAAAAUGACGGUACCUGCAGAAGAAGCGACGGCUAAAUACGUG